rnacentral:rRNA from 1 species
AUUGAACGCUGGCGGCAGGCUUAACACAUGCAAGUCGAGCGGGGUGAUGGUGCUUGCACUAUCACUUAGCGGCGGACGGGUGAGUAAUGCUUAGGAAUCUGCCUAUUAGUGGGGGACAACAUCUCGAAAGGGAUGCUAAUACCGCAUACGUCCUACGGGAGAAAGCAGGGGAUCACUUGUGACCUUGCGCUAAUAGAUGAGCCUAAGUCGGAUUAGCUAGUUGGUGGGGUAAAGGCCUACCAAGGCGACGAUCUGUAGCGGGUCUGAGAGGAUGUUCUGCCACACGGGGACUGAGAAACGGCCCAGACUCCUACGGGAGGCAGCAGUGGGGAAUAUUGGACAAUGGGGGGAACCCUGAUCCAGCCAUGCCGCGUGUGUGAAGAAGGCCUUAUGGUUGUAAAGCACUUUAAGCGAGGAGGAGGCUCUUUUGGUUAAUACCCAAGAUGAGUGGACGUUACUCGCAGAAUAAGCACCGGCUAACUCUGUGCCAGCAGCCGCCGUAA